rnacentral:rRNA from 1 species
GAUGAACGCUGGCGGCGUGCCUAAUACAUGCAAGUCGAGCGAACAGACGAGGAGCUUGCUCCUCUGACGUUAGCGGCGGACGGGUGAGUAACACGUGGAUAACCUACCUAUAAGACUGGGAUAACUUCGGGAAACCGGAGCUAAUACCGGAUAAUAUAUUGAACCGAUGGUUCAAUAGUGAAAGACGGUUUUGCUGUCACUUAUAGAUGGAUCCGCGCCGCAUUAGCUAGUUGGUAAGGUAACGGCUUACCAAGGCAACGAUGCGUAGCCGACCUGAGAGGGUGAUCGGCCACACUGGAACUGAGACACGGUCCAGACUCCUACGGGAGGCAGCAGUAGGGAAUCUUCCGCAAAGGGCGAAAGCCUGACGGAGCAACGCCGCGUGAGUGAUGAAGGUCUUCGGAUCGUAAAACUCUGUUAUUAGGGAAGAACAAAUGUGUAAGUAACUAUGCACGUCUUGACGGUACCUAAUCAGAAAGCCACGGCUAACUACGUG